AAAACAACCGCCGCAUUACUCUUCCUCUAAGAGGAGAUUUUUAUUUUUACACUUGAGAAAUCUUUAGUUGUACACAUAAGAAAUCUGAAAAGACAUUUUAUCUAUUCAUUUUGUAAGUGGCCAAGAGAUCUUAAUUCAUAUUCCCGGACCCUACGCAUAGCGAAAGCUUUAGUGCACUGGAUUACCCUUUAUUGAUGAAAAAUGUGAUCAUCAGAAGAUGAACAAAUUUAUUCAUUACAAUGGCAAUUAUUCUUUUUCAUGUAA